CCUACGGGCGGCAGCAGUGGGGAAUAUUGGACAAUGGGGGCAACCCUGAUCCAGCCAUGCCGCGUGUGUGAAGAAGGCCCUCGGGUUGUAAAGCACUUUCAGUGAGGAAGAACGCCUGGUGGUUAAUACCCAUCAGGAAAGACAUCACUCACAGAAGAAGCACCGGCUAACUCCGUGCCAGCAGCCGCGGUAAUACGGAGGGUGCGAGCGUUAAUCGGAAUUACUGGGCGUAAAGCGCGCGUAGGUUGCUUGAUAAGCCGGUUGUGAAAGCCCCGGGCUCAACCUGGGAACGGCAUCCGGAACUGUCAAGCUAGAGUGCAGGAGAGGAAGGUAGAAUUCCCGGUGUAGCGGUGAAAUGCGUAGAGAUCGGGAGGAAUACCAGUGGCGAAGGCGGCCUUCUGGACUGACACUGACACUGAGGUGCGAAAGCGUGGGUAGCAAACAGGAUUAGAUACCCGGGUAGUC
rnacentral:rRNA from 1 species